UACGAAGGGGGCUAGCGUUGCUCGGAAUUACUGGGCGUAAAGCGCACGUAGGCGGCUUCUUAAGUCGGUGGUGAAAUCCUGGAGCUCAACUCCAGAACUGCCUUCGAUACUGGGGAGCUCGAGUCCGGGAGAGGUGAGUGGAACUGCGAGUGUAGAGGUGAAAUUCGUAGAUAUUAGGAAGAACACCAGUGGCGAAGGCGGCUCACUGGCCCGGUACUGACGCUGAGGCGCGAAAGCGUGGGGAGCAAACAGG
rnacentral:rRNA from 1 species